UCUCUCCUUCCCCCCUCCCCGCUCCCACCCACCUCUUCACAACCUGGCAUCAAAGAAAGACAUCGACCAAAAACUUGCUCACAUUACCACGAACAGACUUCACUCAGCCAAGAACGACUAUAGCCACUCAACUAACAACGCGGCCCCCGGCUGCUCGGCCGGGGAAGCACUCGAGCCAUCGUCACGUUUCCAGCUCCAGCCCCUCCGGUGCCAAUGCGGACGCGUCCGAACGCCGCUCGGAACGGCGGCUGGAGCCCCGCAGCACAACCACUCUCUUCCCAUCAGCGGGAGAACGUGGCACAACGCGCGGCUCCAAUGCGAGCCCCGAGCUCCAAUGCGACCCCUGGGCUCCAACAACAUCCUACUGGACUUCAAUAACUGGGCUCCAGCGCAACCCCUGGGCUCCAAUGCAACCCCUGGACUCUGACACAACCAUUGGAGCUCCAUGGCAACCACGCGGCCCCAGCGAACCAUGGGGCUCCAACACAACCACCGGGCUCCAGCGCAACCCCUGGGCUCCAAUGCAACCAUGGGGCUCCAAUGAAGCACCAGACUUCAAUGCAACCAAGGGGCUCCGAUGCAACCACUGGGGCUCGAAUGCAACCAUUGGGCUCCAAUGAACCACCGGACUUCAAUGCAACCACGGAACUCUGACGCAACCAUUGGGACUCCAAUGCAACCACGGGGCUCCAAUGAACCACCAGACUUCAAUGCAACCAUGGGGCUCCGAUGCAACCACUGGGGCUCGAAUGCAACCAUUGGGCUCCAAUGAACCACUGGACUUCAAUGCAACCACGGAACUCUGACGCAACCAUUGGGACUCCAAUGCAAGCAUGGGGCUCCAACGCAACAGUUGGGGCUCCAGUGCAGUCAUUGGGCUCCAACGAACCAUUGGGACUCCAAUGCAACCAUGGGGCUCUGAUGCAACCAUGGGGCUCCAAUGCAACCAUUGGCCUCCAACGCAACCUGGGGGCACAGAGGUGGUGCAGGCAGUGGCACUGAGGGCUCGGAGCACUGCAAUGCCCCCAGCUCUCCCUAACCCCCCCGUGGGGACCAAACCAAAGCCAGACUUGGAACAAGAACUGGGUUUAGGGGGACGCGGCCGAGGCUGCGCCCACCCCAGCGCACGCUCACAUCCCGAUCUGCUCCGGAGCACAGGCAGGAACCGGAGGAUUCUGAAAGCUCUGGGGAGGAGGCGAGCACACAUCCGACCUGACAGCGUCCCUUCAGCACAGCAUUUCUCUUUUUUGUUUUUUUUUUUUCCCCCAAAACAUCAGCAUCCAUUGCGGGACCCGGGAGCAGCGCCCACCCCUGCGUCCACCUCUCGCCGCUUUCCCGUCGAUGCAACGCAGUGGGGGCACGCGGCCCGUAUCCGGAGGGCGAAACGGAGCAGCAGAGGGGAUGUUCCCGGGAACAUCAUCACGACGGAAUGAAAGUCUCCUGUAACCAAAGGGAAAGAAAAACAACGGCGGGCGAUUUCGAUGACGAGGAUGAUUUCGUUUUUUUUUUUUUUUUUUGCUGUAGAACGGUCUCGGCCGAGUUGCGCAGCUCGUCGGUUCAGCUCCGAGUCGGGGGCCGGGAUUUGCGAGGGGCAGGAAACGGGGUGGGAGGAAAACGAGAGAUAGCACCGCCACAUCCAUAGGUAGAGCUGCUCGCCGAGCGCCGUGCCUCUAUAUUCAUGCACACAGGGUGUUGGUAGCGAGGGUCCUGCUGCUCGCCGGGUCCAUCCCAGCGAUGCCAAGCACUGCGGGCACGGAGCGGAACGGGGCCGGCGUCCCCCGCUUCCCAGCGGUGGAACCGAAGGAGCCGGAGCCGGCGGAGCCAGGAGCCUUGAAAGGACCCGAGGGUGCUCGGCAAGGCAAUGCUGCUUUUUUUUUUUUUUUUGCUUUUUUUUUUUUUUUUCCUGUUCCGUUCUGAAAAAAAUAGAAUAUAUAAAAGCGGCCAACCUCGGGAAGAUCCAGGCAGCGGAGGCGGAAGAGGUUUCGGUCCAUAAAGAAAUACUUUAAAGAAAUACUUUUUUUUUUUUGUCUUCUUUUUUUACUUCCCUCCCCCCCCCCCCCCAACUCGGUUUCGGGUAACAAAACUUUUGGUCCGGCUGAAAAACGACGAGAACAAAAUUAGAUCUCUGUAAAACCCGGGCUUCGCCCUCGUGGCUGUCGGUUUCUUUUUUUUUUGCUUUACGGUCGGGAUUCGCCGCCUCCUCCUUCUCCUCCUCCUCCUCCUCCUCCUCCUCCUCCUCCUCCUCCUCGUCCCCUCCCCGCGUUGUCAGCGCAAGGGAAGGGGCAGGGAAGCAGCGCGCGAUGCGAGCGCGGAGCCCGGCGUGGGGGGAGCGCAUGGGGGGUGCGCAUUUGGGGAGCGCAUGGGGGGAGCGCAUUUGGGGAGCGCAUGGGGGUACCCUGUGAGCGGCUCCGGCGCCGUCGGACGAAGCCAUCC
ensembl:lncRNA